rnacentral:misc_RNA from 1 species
UCUUUUUCUUUCUGGACAAGAUUUUUUUUUUCUGCCGCUACAAGCAAUAGAGCAACGCUGGUCUCUCUCUCUCUCUCGCAACUCAUUGACGUACUCACUUGAGAGUUGGAGAGGGAAGCUUGCCGCUUGGGAUUCUACUUUCUCGACGGAUCUCAAUCCAACGCUCAAUCAUGGUUCUUCUACAGCCAGACCCGUUUCUUAAUGAACUCACAAGCAUGUUUGAACAAAGCACUGAGAAGGGAACUGUUUGGGUCACUCUCAAACGAUCAUCCUUGAUGUCCAAGGUGCAGAGGAAUAAAAUGGCAACUGCUGGUAAACCCGUUGAAUAUAGGUGUCUCAUCCGUGCAACCAAUGGCAAGAAGACAAUUUCUACUUCGGUUGGGGCAAAGGAUCACCAGCGCUUUCAAGCUUCAUAUACUACUAUUCUCAAGGCCCACAUGACUGCUUUAAAGAAGAGGGAGAGAAAGGACAAGAAAAAGGCUGCAGGGGCAGAUAAGAAAGAAGGUGGCUCAAAGAAGCCCUAGGGAGCCCAAAUUCCUGUUUUCUGAACCUCUGUAUAAAAUGGAAUACCUUUCAUUUCCUUUUAUGUACUCUUCAGCAUAACGAAAGUAGGUUUUGUCAUACCUUGAGAGUAAAGAAAUAUUUGUUUUGACUUUGAGCAUUUACUGAGAUUGAAGGAUGGGAUUUUGUUUGACUGCCCUUUUGUGGGCGUUGUUACUUGGGUUAAUAUUUAUAUGGGAGAAAAUAUUAACCCAAGUAACAACGCCC